AAAGGGCGCGUAGGCGGAUAGUUUAGUCAGAGGUAAAAGCCCAGGGCUCAACCUUGGAACUGCCUUUGAUACUGGCUAUCUUGAGUACGGGAGAGGUGUGUGGAACUCCGAGUGUAGAGGUGAAAUUCGUAGAUAUUCGGAAGAACACCAGUGGCGAAGGCGACACACUGGCCCGUUACUGACGCUGAGGCGCGAAAGCGUGGGGAGCAAACAGGAUUAGAUACCCCAGU
rnacentral:rRNA from 1 species